UACGUGAGGGGCAAGCGUUAUCCGGAAUUACUGGGUGUAAAGGGAGCGUAGACGGUGAUGUAAGUCCGGAGUGAAAGGCGGGGGCCCAACCCCCGGACUGCUCUGGAAACUAUGUGACUGGAGUGCAGGAGAGGUAAGUGGAAUUCCUAGUGUAGCGGUGAAAUGCGUAGAUAUUAGGAGGAACACCAGUGGCGAAGGCGGCUUACUGGACUGUAACUGACGUUGAGGCUCGAAAGCGUGGGGAGCAAACAGG
rnacentral:rRNA from 1 species